rnacentral:lncRNA from 1 species
ACAGAGCUGUAUUUUUUGCUGAACGAUUCACUUCCCACAACUGUUAYUACUUCGCCAGCCUACCCUGAGGUUGCAGGAGCGACUGAGAUGUCCUCAGAGAAGCAGGCAGGGAAACGACCUGUAAGUCAUUACUGUUGUAAGCUGCAUGGAGAACUUUGGAUCUUGAAAGGUAAGAGCRUUUCAGAUAAAUCUCCACAAUGUUGGCACAGAUGUUUAAAGCAUUGCUUAAAUCCCUUGAUUAACCCAGUUUCUCAAUAUUUGACAUAAAUCAAUAACUGAGAUUUCUUUGCUGUUCUCUAGCUUUGUAAAUAUUUAUCCAUCCAGUCCCAUGAAAUAUGACAAUAUUUAAUCCUGUUGAAGUAAUUCUUUGUAUGCUGCAUAUGAAGAGAUAUAAUAGUUCCAGUGAUGCUAGUUAAACAAUUGGCACUAAGGAUGAAAUCUGCUGCCUUUCUUUUGCAAAUAACUGGGAUUUAUACGCUGUAAAUGUGAGUGAAUGGAAAGUAAAAUCCACCUUCUGUCACAGCACUUGGGCCAGCUGCUGGGAAUGCAAAUUUCCUGGUUCUGGCUUGCGCCUGAGCCUACGGCUCAGCCUUAACAGCAGCCUUUUGUACCAAUUAAAUGAGGUACUGAGAGCUAGAUCGGGGUAAACAGCGAAAGGAUGGCACUGCUGUUACUUGUCCUCAGCCUUGCGAGGAGGUACCAUGUUUUACCGUACUUGCCUGUGCACCCUGGGCACGAGGAAGAUGCUCUGCCCGYGGUUUCCGCGACCUGGGGAAGCCUUGGUGCUGGCCCUGCUGCCUGUGGCUGAGAUUCCUCCUAACGUGCCGGUUUGCAGCAGGUGUGCUCCUCGUCUCUAGGUACUGCAGAAGUGGAAGGGCCUGAGGAUGACGAGGAAGGGGAGAAGCAUUACAGUGGCACAAGAUGCCUCAAGUUCAUCAGCAGGACUUUGGAAGUGCAUCUUCCUUCAGUUAUUAUUUGUUCUUAAAAGAGGGAAUAACGUUUUGUCAUCCACAUCGGAGGAGCAGUUUUUCUCUCCUUUGAUACGCAGCAGCACUCAGGAGUCCUCGUCGCAGGAAGCAGCCAGAGAGCAGAGGCGGCGAGAGGGCAGGUUCGGGUGGCUCGCACCAAGCCCUGCGGGCGCGUGACGACCCCCCUGCACCCCCCCGGGGACGGGGCAGGGCCGCGCAAGAAGAAGCARCUGACAACAGCUGCUGACAGAUGAGUCCUGGAGAGGGUUGAAGCCGCGGCRCUUACGGGAACUUGGGAGUUUGCGAUGACCUGAGCUCACCACGGUGUCAGGUAUCUGAAAUUUGGCAGCAGACAGCUAUCAGCCAGCUCUUACACAUGAAAAACUAUUACAAAACAAAAGACAUGUACAGAGUGUUCCCCAGUAUCUGUGUAACUACCACGUAAGAAAGGAAGGUACAUCCCUAGCCUUAGAGCUGUAGAGCAAAGGUAUCCAGCUUCAGGUGAGAAACCAGGAGUCUCUGUGUCGGCAGCCAGGAGAGGUCCGAGCUGCUGGGUCCACAGGGCUGAAGUUCCCCCUCCACGUGGACAAUAGGUUGCAUUUAACUAGCAGGAGCUUGAGGUUUUUUGAAGUCAUAUAUCUUUCGUGCAGUAGAAGAUACCAAGUGAGACGUGAAGAAUUGAGCUCACACACCGUUUAUCCAGAUUUUGUACCAAGCAGGACCGAUGGCAGAACAGAGCUUCCCUCUUCCAGGCCCACGCUGAAAUCAAAGCCCGCUGCCAAAGGCUGAGGCACACAACGCUUGUGAGUGGGUUUUUUUGCCUGGACAGGAAUAAGCUAUCAGAGCUUAUUCCUCAGAGAAGUCCCAUGGCGAGGUGAUUCUUUAAGCUGUGUUUGCUCAUAGUACUAAAGAUAAAACUGCUAAUGUAUCUUUCAUGAAUGUGCCUAUCCCGUGAUUCGUUCACUCAGAAUGAUGGUUUCUCUUGACCUUAGGCUAAGAUUUAAUAGAUGGGGAAAAGAUAAAUUUAGGAAAGCUCUAUAAUCCAGUGACAACAAUACUCAUACUUUUAUACUUUCUUGCAUGUUUUCUAGCAUGCCAUGAAGAGUAAUAAGUGGCAAAAGCUAAAGUGUCCUUGGCAAACAAACAAACAAACAGAAUAGCACCCGGUGUGCUAUUU